AUGGAGUGAUGGUAAUGAAGGUAUGUUCUGGUAUCAGCAGAAACCAGGACAGCCUCCAAAGCUCCUUAUAAAAUAUGUUAAAAAUCUUGAAUCAAGAACUCAAGCUCGGUUUAAUGGCAGUGGAAGCGGCUCUGAUUUCUCUUUGACCAUCAGUGGAGUUCAG